rnacentral:lncRNA from 1 species
AUGGCCUUUCCCGACCUCGAAAGGGUUUGUUUUGCAGAGCCACAGCCCUCAAGGCAAACACCACGGUCCGCAUUCCUGGCCUUGAACCACCAGCGAGGGAGGGACGGACGCUGCCAAGGACGCAGUUCACGCUCCGGACAAGAAAAGAAAGAACGAGAAAGAGAGAAAGAAAGAGAGGAAGGGCCCACAUCCCUCCCCAAGCCUUUGUUGUUCUUCGGCCACAACAGGAUCUGCAGUUUCAGGGUGCUGCUCUUCCUUCUCGCUUUCUUAUUCCCACCCUCUCCCUCCCAAACAUCCUUCUUUCUUUCUCUCCAUCCUUCCAUCUAUCCGCCCAUUCAUCCUUCUCUUCCCUUCUUUCCAUUCUUCCUUCCUUCCAUCUAUCCAUCCUUUCAAUCCUCUUUCCUUCCUUCUUUCCAUCCAUCCAUUCUUUCCAUCCCUUUCCCUUCCUUCUUUUCAUCCAUCCCUCUCCUUUCUUUCCAUCCAUCAUUCAUUCCUUCCAUUCAUCUUCCCUUCCUUUUAUCCAUCCAUCCUUCCUUCCAGCCCUUGCCCUUCCAUUUGUCUUCCCUCCUUCCUUCUUUCCAUCUAUCCAUUCCUUCCUUCCUUCCCUCUUUCCUUCCUUACAUUCUUACUUUGUUCCAUCCAUUUUUCAUUCCUUCUUUCCAUUCUUCCUUCCUUCCAUCUAUCCAUCUUUUCAACCCUCUUUUCUUCCUUCUUUCCAUCCAUCCAUUCCUUCCCUCCCUUUCCUUCCUUCCCUCCUUCCUUCUUUCCAUCCAUCGUUCCUUCCUUCCAUUCCUUUUCCUUCCAUUCGUCUCCCUUUCCUUCCUUCUGUUCUUCCUUCUAUCCCUUUCCUUCCUUCCAUCUAUCCCUCUUUCCAUUAUUACUUCAAUCCAUCUUCCUUCCUUUCAUUCCUUCCCUUCGUCUUCCUUCCUUCCUUUCAUCCACCUAUCCUUUCUUUUCUCUCAUGUCUGUCCUUCCUUCCGUUCUCCUUCCUUCCAUCCCUCUUUCUUUCCUUCUAUUCUUACUUCAUUCCAUCCAUCUUUCAUUCCUUCCAUUCAUCCAUCCGUUUCCUUCCAUCUAGUCCUCUUUCCUUCUUUCCAUAAUUAUUUCAAUCCAUCCUUCCUUCCUUCCAUCCCUUCAUCUUCCAUCCAUCCUUCCUUCCUUCCAUCCCUUCAUCUUCCUUCCUUCCUUCCAUCCAUCCGUUUCCUUCCUUCCUUCCUUCCUUCCAUCCAUCCAUCCUUCUUUCCUCCUUCCUUCCCUUCGUCUUCCUUCCUUCCUUUCAUCCAUCCAUCCAUCCAUCCUUUCCUUUCUUUCAUGCCUGUCCUUCCAUCCCUUUCUUUCCUUCCUUCCAUCCUUCUUUCCAUCUGUCUUCCUUCCUUCCUUCCAUCCACCCAUCCUUCUUUCCUCCUUCCUUCCCUUCGUUUUACUUCCAUUUUUUUAUUAAUUUUAUUGUAA